UACGUAGGGUGCGAGCGUUGUCCGGAAUUAUUGGGCGUAAAGAGCUCGUAGGCGGUCUGUCGCGUCGGUCGUGAAAACUUGGGGCUUAACCCUGAGCUUGCGGUCGAUACGGGCAUGACUGGAGUUCGGUAGGGGAGACUGGAAUUCCUGGUGUAGCGGUGAAAUGCGCAGAUAUCAGGAGGAACACCGGUGGCGAAGGCGGUGGUCUGGGCCGGAACUGACGCUGAGGAGCGAAAGCGUGGGGAGCGAACAGG
rnacentral:rRNA from 1 species